CUACACAUGCAAGUCGAGCGGAUGACGGGAGCUUGCUCCUUGAUUCACGCGGCGGACGGGUGAGUAAUGCCUAGGAAUCUGCCUGGUAGUGGGGGACAACGUUUCGAAAGGAACGCUAAUACCGCAUACGUCCUACGGGAGAAAGCAGGGGACCUUCGGGCCUUGCGCUAUCAGAUGAGCCUAGGUCGGAUUAGCUAGUUGGUGGGGUAAUGGCUCACCAAGGCGACGAUCCGUAACUGGUCUGAGAGGAUGAUCAGUCACACUGGAACUGAGACACGGUCCAGACUCCUACGGGAGGCAGCAGUGGGGAAUAUUGGACAAUGGGCGAAAGCCUGAUCCAGCCAUGCCGCGUGUGUGAAGAAGGUCUUCGGAUUGUAAAGCACUUUAAGUUGGGAGGAAGGGCAGUAAGUUAAUACCUUGCUGUUUUGACGUUACCGACAGAAUAAGCACCGGCUAACUCUGUGCCAGCAGCCGCGGUAAUACAGAGGGUGCAAGCGUUAAUCGGAAUUACUGGGCGUAAAGCGCGCGUAGGUGGUUUGUUAAGUUGGAUGUGAAAGCCCCGGGCUCAACCUGGGAACUGCAUCCAAAACUGGCAAGCUAGAGUACGGUAGAGGGUGGUGGAAUUUCCUGUGUAGCGGUGAAAUGCGUAGAUAUAGGAAGGAACACCAGUGGCGAAGGCGACCA
rnacentral:rRNA from 1 species